rnacentral:lncRNA from 1 species
AGCCGCGGACGCCAGACACUGCCCACCACACGUCCCUCACGGCCACCUGAACGUAAGGCAGGGCAGGGUGACUUCCUGGGUUUACAAGAGGCGCAGUCACCCGGCUCAAGGCGGGGCACACGCUCUGCGCCCCAGGCCGGGCGCCUCCCACCGGCCCCAGCAGGGCUCCCGAGGCUCAGUUGUGCAAGGGGAGCUCCGGAAACCGCGUGGCCUCGCCCUCCCGCGGUGACCUCGCAGCUGGGGGCCCGGCCCCGCCCCGCCCGGGCCACCAACGGGGACGACGCGCGUCCUCACCGUGGAGGGGGGGGGAGGGAAGAGGAGGGAGGGGGGGGGAGGCUGGGCGGGAGCUCCGGAGCCACCCCCGCCCCAUUUCUCUUUUCCAGAAACGUAUUUUUUUUUAAGGUUUUGUUUUUAGAAUAGCGCCCCGCUCGUUAUGAGACACUCGUGUCACACUCAAGACUACAAACAGAAAAUGCUCCAGUGGACACCAGCGCCCCCAGAAUUCUCGGCGGCGACCUCUUUCUCCGUCCAUUUUCAGAGAGAAGGACAGAUGGACGGAUGGAAAUCUUUCCCAGAAAAGGGCUCCUGCAAUGAUACACGCUCUUCGGGGGGGAAAAGCACUUAAAUUCAACAGAACAAAAGGAAGCCUGGAUGUAACUGAAGACAUUGCCCAACUGCAAAUGAUUGUGCUUCUUAUGUUUCUCAAUUAUUUCCCUAAAAGGAAAGAAAAAUACCAAGAGGCUGGAUUCAUUCUUUAAACAUGUUUCCACUGUAGAUGGCAUCUCUUGACAGCCGGUGAUUUGGGACGAGGAAAUGAGCUCACCCACUUCCUAUCCCCUUCCCCUCCCAGA